UAAGUUUCUCAUUAUUCUGACCUAACCAACAGGGAAAUGGAACCCAGGUCACAGAAUAUUAAAUGUGUGAAAUGGCCUACAUCAUCUUUUCAGAUGAAAGUUUUAAAGAAAGCAUGAAAUACCAUCAUUUUCAUAAAUAAAAGUCUGAAA